rnacentral:rRNA from 1 species
UACGUAGGGGGCGAGCGUUGUCCGGAAUUAUUGGGCGUAAAGAGCGUGUAGGCGGUUCGGUAAGUCUGCCGUGAAAUCCUGGGGCUCAACCCCGGGCGUGCGGUGGAUACUGCCGGGCUAGAGGGUGGUAGAGGCGAGUGGAAUUCCAGGUGUAGCGGCGAAAUGCGUAGAUAUCUGGAGGAACACCGGUGGCGAAGGCGGCAUCCUGGACCGACACUGACGCUGAGGCGCGAAAGCCAGGGGAGCAAACGGG